rnacentral:rRNA from 1 species
GACGAACGCUGGCGGCGUGCCUAAUACAUGCAAGUCGAACGCUGAAGGAGGAGCUUGCUUCUCCGGAUGAGUUGCGAACGGGUGAGUAACGCGUAGGUAACCUGCCUGGUAGCGGGGGAUAACUAUUGGAAACGAUAGCUAAUACCGCAUAACAGUAGAUAUUGCAUGAUAUCUGCUUGAAAGGUGCAAUUGCAUCACUACCAGAUGGACCUGCGUUGUAUUAGCUAGUUGGUGAGGUAACGGCUCACCAAGGCGACGAUACAUAGCCGACCUGAGAGGGUGAUCGGCCACACUGGGACUGAGACACGGCCCAGACUCCUACGGGAGGCAGCAGUAGGGAAUCUUCGGCAAUGGACGGAAGUCUGACCGAGCAACGCCGCGUGAGUGAAGAAGGUUUUCGGAUCGUAAAGCUCUGUUGUAAGAGAAGAACGAGUGUGAGAGUGGAAAGUUCACACUGUGACGGUAUCUUACCAGAAAGGGACGGCUAACUACGUG